rnacentral:snRNA from 1 species
GGGCUCUUGGACAGCACUUAUACUAAAACGGGAAUGAUACACAAAUUAUAAUUGCCCCUGCACAAGGGUGACACAUAAAUUCAUGAAGCAUUCCAUAUUAAG